rnacentral:lncRNA from 1 species
UCGUAGUUUCUCACUUUGCCCCCCUGUGGUUUAAAGUGUAUCAAUUUGCCCCCUGUGGUUUCGUUUUUAUCUUUUCGGUAACUUUUUCGUUAAUAUUUUAUUAAAUUAUAUAUAAAAAAAAACUUCAGAUACUCAUCUAGAUUUAUCAAAUAUUCACUUUAGUACCCUUUAAUUUUAAUCUUAUCACUGAUUUAAGAAAAAAAAUAAUGAAAUUGAUAAGAAAAAGAGAAAAAAAAAACCACAGGGGGGCAAAUUGAUACAUUUUAAACCACAGGGGGACAAAGUGAGAAACUACUAAACCACAGUGGGGUUUUUUGAAGUUUUUCCUAAAAGAAAAAACAAAACAAAAGAAACU